CGGAUUGCAGGCUGCAACCCGCCUGCAUGAAGUUGGAAUUGCUAGUAAUCGCGGAUCAGCAUGCCGCGGUGAAUACGUUCCCUGGCCUUGUACACACCGCCCGUCACACCAUGGGAGCCGGUAAUACCCGAAGUCAGUAGCCUAACCGCAAGGGGGGCGCUGCCGAAGGUAGGAUUGGCGACUGGGGUGAAGUCGUAACAAGGUAAC
rnacentral:rRNA from 1 species